rnacentral:rRNA from 1 species
GACGAACGCUGGCGGCGUGCUUAACACAUGCAAGUCGAACGGAAAGGCCCUGCUUGCAGGGUGCUCGAGUGGCGAACGGGUGAGGAACACGUGGGUGAUCUGCCCCUUACUUUGGGAUAAGCCUGGGAAACUGGGUCUAAUACUGGAUAGGACCAUGCUGUAGGUGGUGUGGUGGAAAGAUUAGUUUCGGUAAGGGAUGAGCUCGCGGCCUAUCAGCUUGUUGGUGGGGUAAUGGCCUACCAAGGCGUCGACGGGUAGCCGGCCUGAGAGGGUGGACGGCCACAUUGGGACUGAGAUACGGCCCAGACUCCUACGGGAGGCAGCAGUGGGGAAUAUUGCACAAUGGGCGCAAGCCUGAUGCAGCGACGCCGCGUGGGGGAUGACGGCCUUCGGGUUGUAAACUCCUUUCAGCCAUGACGAAGCCCUUGUGGUGACGGUAGUGGUAGAAGAAGCACCGGCUAACUACGUG